GCCCCAGUAGCUUAAACCACAAAGCGUUGGUCUUGUAAACCAAAGACGGAGUUUUACCCCCCCCUAGGGCA
rnacentral:tRNA from 1 species